GUUUCAGUCUCUAAACCCACCUUCUCGACUUCUGCUCUCCCCGUCUCCCUCCUCGCCUCUCUUCUCUGCACCAAGCACCUCGAUUUAGGGCUUCACCAUUUCUCUUCGAAUCAAGGUCUCUAUUUCUCUGAUUGUUAUCCAAUUGCUUGAUUAAAUCAUUAGGAUUAAAUUUUACUUGGAAAAUUUGAAUUAUGUGGACCGAACCCACCUUCUUUUUUUGUAAUGUUUGUUGCGGCAACCAUAUCUCUGUUCUUGACCCAAUGCAAGAAGUCAGUAACUUGACCAUGACACCUCCUUUUUUUGCAUUGUUUGCUGCGGCAACCAUAUAUCUGUUCUUGACCCAAUGCAAGAAGUCAGUAACUUGACCAUGACUUGCAGGAUGUUUUCAUGUGUUAUUUUGUUUCCGCUUACGAUCUUCAGUAGAUACCCCAUGGGUGAAAUUUUUGGCUUCCCAAACUGCCAGAAGAGUCAAAUCCCUCUUGGGUUAAUGCUUUAUUCUUUUUGCGAUUUUUCAAUGCUUUUUUAUAUGGCCCACUAAGUCUGUGACGCUGAAGUUUUAAGCCCCAAAUGAUUAUUUUCUUGCAUGAAAUUUCUGUCUGCAAGUUUUAUGAAGGUGUUGUUUCUUCUUACGACCUGCCAAAAAUAAACACUUGAAACUUUGUGCCCAUUUUGGAUUCACUUUGAACUUGGUUGAGACCGAUCUAAUCCGGCAUUCCCAAGUGAGUUUUGCAUGUUUCUCAAUGUAUAUGGUUUCAAUUUUUUGUUCCGGUAAUAGAAACUAUGUCCUUUGACUCUGCUUACAUGCUUUUUAACAUGGAGAGAAAUUGAAUUUGUAUUUCAGAAUUA